rnacentral:rRNA from 1 species
UACGGGGGGGCAAGCGUUGUUCGGAAUUACUGGGCGUAAAGGGCGCGUAGGCGGCCUACUAAGUCAGACGUGAAAUCCCCCGGCUUAACCUGGGAACUGCGUCUGAUACUGGAAGGCUUGAGGAUGGGAGAGGGAUGUAGAAUUCCAGGUGUAGCGGUGAAAUGCGUAGAUAUCUGGAGGAAUACCGGUGGCGAAGGCGGCAUCCUGGACCGGCAUUGACGCUGAGGAGCGAAAGCCAGGGGAGCAAAGCGGG